rnacentral:lncRNA from 1 species
GAAUUCUCUCGGGAGAAAUAUUACCUAGACAUAGGGAUAUGAGGAUCAAUUGCCUUUAAGCUUCUGUACGAAUUAUGUAAUGCAAUAUCGAUUGCUAAGAAGACUAGACAUAGUAAACUAGUAAUUAGGAGUAGGCUCUUUUCACCAAGACAUUGGGAUUAUGGUAAUUUAGAAAGUGGCAUUAACAUUAAUGAAGAAGUAGAAUUAUUAGAUAUAUGAAAGUGGAUAGGAUGAAAUCAUAAACCCCAACAACAUAAUUCGUUCAUGCAUCAAUCCCC